rnacentral:rRNA from 1 species
UACGGAGGGUGCAAGCGUUAUCCGGAUUCACUGGGUUUAAAGGGUGCGUAGGUGGGUUGGUAAGUCAGUGGUGAAAUCUCCGUGCUUAACAUGGAAACUGCCAUUGAUACUACUGAUCUUGAAUUUUCAGGAGGUAAGCGGAAUAUGUCAUGUAGCGGUGAAAUGCUUAGAUAUGACAUAGAACACCGAUUGCGAAGGCAGCUAACUACAGGGUUAUUGACACUGAGGCUCGAAAGCGUGGGGAUCAAACAGG